rnacentral:rRNA from 1 species
UAUAAAAACGAAAGGGCUCAAGGUGGAGGCCUUGGUGCUAGGAGGCGAAGAAGGACGUGGCAGGCUGCGAAAAGCCAUGGUUAGCUGCGAGCGAGCUAAGAACCAUGGAUAUCCGAAUGGGGCAACCCACCCGUAGAGAUACGGGUAUUCUGGGGUAAAACCCAGGAGGCGAACCCGGGGAACUGAAUCAUCUAAGUACCCGGAGGAAAAGAAAGAGCAAUCGAUUCUCAGAGUAGCGGCGAGCGAAAUGGGAAGAGUCUAAACCGGCAGUGGUGUAAAAGGGCACAUCCGUUGCUGCUGCGGGGUAGAGGGAGAUGAUCUAUGAUGAAUGUGCAGCAUCGGGCAGUAUUAAAUCUAAGAGAUGAAUCACUCUGGAAAGGUGAACCAGAGAGGGUGAAAGUCCUGUAAUCGAAUUAGAUUUAAUAAGGUCAGAUCAUAGUCCCGAGUAACACGAGUUAAGUGGAAUCUAGUGUGAAUCAGCGAGGACCAUCUCGUAAGACUAAAUACUACCUAGCGACCGAUAGUGAACAAGUACCGUGAGGGAAAGGUGAAAAGAACCCCUGUGAGGGGAGUGAAAGAGAACCUAAAACCUUGAGCUUACAAUUAGCCAGAGCACUAUUAAUAAAUGUGUGAUGGUGUGCCUUUUGUAGAAUGAGCCGGAGAGUUGCUUAUCAGUUGCGAGGCUAAUCCUAAGAAGGGAGGAGCCGCAGGGAAACCGAGUCUGAAGAGGGCGGAGGUAGCUGGUAGCAGACACGAAGCCGGGUGAACUAACCAUGUCCAGGGUGAAGCGUGGGUAAAACCAUGUGGAGGCCCGCACCAGUUGGUCCUGAAAAACCAUUGGAUGAGGUGUGGUUAGCGGUGAAAAGCCAAUCGAACCCGGAGAUAUCUUGUACUCCCCGAAAUAGCUUUAGGGCUAACCUUAUGGUAGUUUAUGGGAGGUAGAGCACUGGAUGGAGUAGGGGCCGAGAGGCUACCGAAUCCAACCAAACUCCGAAUGCCUAUAAAUGAUCCAUGGGAGACAGACUACGUGUGAUAAGAUUCGUAGUCGAGAGGGAAACAGCCCAGACCGCCAGUUAAGGUCCCAAAGAGUAUGCUAAGUGGUAAAGGAAGUGAAACUACGAAGACAGCUAGGAGGUUGGCUUAGAAGCAGCCACUCCUUGAAAGAGUGCGUAACAGCUCACUAGUCGAGUGGUUUUGCGCCGAAGAUGUAACGGGGCUAAAGUAUACCACCGAAACUGCGGACAGAUACUUGUAUCUGUGGUAGGGGAGCAUUCCAUGCGGAUAGAAGGUAUACCGAGAGGAGUACUGGACUGUAUGGAAGAGAGAAUUCCGGCAUGAGUAACGAAAAGAGAGGUGAGAAUCCUCUUCGCCGAAAGUCUAAGGAUUCCUGGGGAAGGCUUGUCCACCCAGGGUUAGUCGGGGCCUAAUGUGAACCCGAAGGGGGAAGCAGAUGGAUAUCAGGUUAAUAUUCCUGAACCGCUAAUAUAUUGUUUGAGCGAAGCAGUGACGUAGGAGGAUAUGCUGAGCGCGUUAAAGGUAAACGCGUUUAAGCGCUGAGGCAUCUGAAGGUAGGCAAAUCCGCCUUCAGGCUAAGUCAAGGCGUGAUGGGGAGUCAGGUAAGACUGGCGAAGCAGCAGACUUCACACUACCGAGAAAACCUGCUAAGUGAGAUAUAUAAGUGCCCGUACCGCAAACCGACACAGGUAGACAGGAUGAGGAAUCUAAGGCGUACGAGAGAACCCUUGCUAAGGAACUCGGCAAAUUGACCCCGUAACUUAGGGAGAAGGGGUGCUUGAGCUUGUGGAAGGAACUUGUUCUGGAAGCGAAUUCAAGCCGCAGAAACUAGGCCCAAGCGACUGUUUACCAAAAACACAGGUCUCUGCAAAUCCGUUAAGGAGAUGUAUAGGGACUGAUGCCUGCCCGGUGCUGGAAGGUUAAGGGGAACAGUGAGAGCUGUGAACUGAAGCCCUGGUAAACGGCGGCCGUAACUAUAACGGUCCUAAGGUAGCGAAAUUCCUAGUCGGGUAAUUUCCGACCUGCACGAAAGGCGCAACGAUUUGGGCGCUGUCUCGGCGAGGGUCUCGGUGAAAUUAAAGUACCGGUGAAGAUGCCGGUUAGUCGCAGCUGGACGGAAAGACCCCGUGAAGCUUUACUGCAGCUUGUCAUUGUUGUUUGCAGUAUUUUGCACAGGAUAGGUGGGAGACAAUGAAGGGAUGCUUCUGGGUGUCCCGGAGUCGUUGGUGGAAUACCACCCCUAAUAUUGUGAGCAACUAACCUUACAAUUUGGAGAAAAAUUGGGGGACAGUGAUAGGUGGGCAGUUUGACUGGGGCGGUCGCCUCCUAAAGAGUAACGGAGGCGCACAAAGGUUCCCUCAGGCUGUUUGGAAAUCAGCCGAAGAGUGUAAAGGCAUAAGGGAGCUUAACUGAGAGACAGACAUGUCGAUCAGAUACGAAAGUAGGUCUUAGUGAUCCGGUGGCGCUGUAUGGAAGGGCCAUCGCUCAACGGAUAAAAGCUACUCCGGGGAUAACAGGCUAAUACCAUCCAAGAGUUCACAUCGACGAUGGUGUUUGGCACCUCGAUGUCGGCUCGUCACAUCCUGGGGCUGAAUCAGGUCCCAAGGGUUGGACUGUUCGUCCAUUAAAGUGGCACGCGAGCUGGGUUCAGAACGUCGUGAGACAGUUCGGUCCCUAUCCGCUGUGACCGUUGGAUAUUUGAGGGGAUCUGCACCUAGUACGAGAGGACCGGUGUGGACGGAGCUCUGGUGUACCAGUUGUCCCGCCCGGGGCAAAAAGCUGGGUAGCUAACUCCGGAAGAGAUAAGAACUGAAAGCAUCUAAGUUCGAAGCUCACCCCGAGAUGAAAUAUCCCAAUCAGGAACCUCGAAGACUACGAGGUUGAUAGGCUGGAGGUGUAAGUGCAGUGAUGCAUUGAGCUGACCAGUACUAAUCAUCCGAAUGUUUUAUAUU